rnacentral:rRNA from 1 species
GACGAACGCUGGCGGCGUGCUUAACACAUGCAAGUCGAACGGAAAGACCCUGCUUUUGUGGGGUGCUCGAGUGGCGAACGGGUGAGUAACACGUGAGUAACCUGCCCUUGACUUUGGGAUAACUUCAGGAAACUGGGGCUAAUACCGGAUAGGAGCUCCUGCUGCAUGGUGGGGGUUGGAAAGUUUCGGCGGUUGGGGAUGGACUCGCGGCUUAUCAGCUUGUUGGUGGGGUAGUGGCUUACCAAGGCUUUGACGGGUAGCCGGCCUGAGAGGGUGACCGGCCACAUUGGGACUGAGAUACGGCCCAGACUCCUACGGGAGGCAGCAGUGGGGAAUAUUGCACAAUGGGCGGAAGCCUGAUGCAGCAACGCCGCGUGCGGGAUGACGGCCUUCGGGUCGUAAACCGCUUUCGCCUGUGACGAAGCGUGAGUGACGGUAAUGGGUAAAGAAGCACCGGCUAACUACGUG